AUCAACUUUCGAUGGUAGGAUAGAGGCCUACCAUGGUGGUAACGGGUAACGGGGUGUUAGGGCACGACACCGGAGAGGGAGCCUGAGAAACGGCUACCACAUCCAAGGAUGGCAGCAGGCGCGCAAAUUACCCAAUCCCGACACGGGGGGGUAGUGACAAUAAAUAACAAUACGGGGUCCUUUAGGGUUUCGUAAUUGGAAUGAGUACAAUUUAAAUCUCUUAACGAGGAACAAUUGGAGGGCAAGUCUGGUGCCAGCAGCCGCGGUAAUUCCAGCUCCAAUAGCGUAUAUUAAAGUUGUUGCAGUUAAAAAGCUCGUAGUUGAAUUUCGGGAUCAGUACGUUGGUCGUGCCUUGGUACGUACUGGUGUAACUGAUUCCUCCCUUCUGACGAACCGUCAUGCCAUUAAUUUGGUGUGGCGGGAAAUCAGGACUGUUACUUUGAAAAAAUUAGAGUGUUUAAAGCAGGCUCGCGCUUGAAUACAUUAGCAUGGAAUAAUGAAAUAGGACGUUGUUCUUAUUUUGUUGGUUUCUAGGAUCGACGUAAUGAUUAAUAGGGAUAGUUGGGGGCAUUAGUAUUCAAUUGUCAGAGGUGAAAUUCUUGGAUUUAUUGAAGACUAACUACUGCGAAAGCAUUUGCCAAGGAUGUUUUCAUUAAUCAAGAACGAAAGUUAGGGGAUCGAAGACGAUCAGAUACCGUCGUAGUCUUAACCAUAAACUAUGCCGACUAGGGAUCGGAUGAUGUUAAUUUUUUAAUGACUCAUUCGGCGCCUUACGGGAAACCAAAGUGUUUGGGUUC
rnacentral:rRNA from 1 species